CCUACGGGUGGCUGCAGUCGAGAAUCAUUCACAAUGGGGGAAACCCUGAUGGUGCGACGCCGCGUGGGGGAAUGAAGUUCUUCGUAUUGUAAACCCCUGUCAUGUGGGAGCAAAUUAAAAAGAUAGUACCACAAGAGGAAGAGACGGCUAACUCUGUGCCAGCAGCCGCGGUAAAACAGAGGUCUCAAGCGUUGUUCGGCAUCGCUGGGCGUAAAGCGUUCGUAGGCUGGUUGGUAAGUCGUGUGUGAAAGGCGCGGGCUCAACCCGCGGACGGCACAUGAUACUGCGAGACUAGAGUGAGGGAGAGGGAAGCGGAAUUCUCGGUGUAGCAGUGAAAUGCGUAGAUAUCGAGAAGAACACUCGUGGCGAAGGCGGGUUCCUGGACAUAAACUGACGCUGAGGCACGAAGGCCAGGGGAGCGAAAGGGAUUAGAUACCCGAGUAGUC
rnacentral:rRNA from 1 species